GCUGGUUCAGUGAUGAGUUCACUCUUUGCCGUUUACCCAUCAGAAAAUUACAUGAUGAAGACGUGAUAAACUGAAUAGCCAGC
ensembl:snoRNA